CCUACGGGGGGCUGCAGUGGGGAAUAUUGCACAAUGGGGGAAACCCUGAUGCAGCGACGCCGCGUGAGUGAAGAAGUAUCUCGGUACGUAAAGCUCUAUCAGCAGGGAAGAAAAUGACGGUACCUGACUAAGAAGCCCCGGCUAACUACGUGCCAGCAGCCGCGGUAAUACGUAGGGGGCAAGCGUUAUCCGGAUUUACUGGGUGUAAAGGGAGCGUAGACGGCAGCACAAGUCUGGAGUGAAAUCCCGGGGCCUAACCCCGGAACUGCUUUGGAAACUGUGCGGCUGGAGUGCAGGAGGGGUAAGCGGAAUUCCUAGUGUAGCGGUGAAAUGCGUAGAUAUUAGGAGGAACACCGGUGGCGAAGGCGGCUUACUGGACUGUAACUGACGUUGAGGCUCGAAAGCGUGGGGAGCAAACAGGAUUAGAUACCCCAGUAGUC
rnacentral:rRNA from 1 species